rnacentral:miRNA from 1 species
CUUGAACUCACUAUGUAGACCAGGUUGGUCUUAACUUCCAGAGAUCUUCCUGCCUCUGCCUCCUGAGUCCUGGGAU